rnacentral:rRNA from 1 species
UACGGGAGGCAGCAGUGAGGAAUAUUGGUCAAUGGCCGAGAGGCUGAACCAGCCAUGCCGCGUGCGGGAGGACGGCCCUAUGGGUUGUAAACCGCUUUUGUUGGGGAGCAAUAAGGGUCACGUGUGGCCCGAUGAGAGUACCCAGCGAAUAAGCAUCGGCUAACUCCGUUGCCAGCAGCCGCGGUAAU